CCCUGGCAAAGAACCAAGGAAACCACAAACUGACGUGAUCCGAGCUGCCUGGGCAAGGCCCCUGCUCCCUGGGCCCAGGCUGGGUCUGGCCCUCCUGCUCUGGCCCCCAAGCUCCAGGAAGACCUCGAGUCGAUGAUGCACCAGAGACACCGCUGUGCACACCAGCCACUGGGCUCUGGGGUCAUGAGGUCCUGUGACCGACCAAAGGGAGCCGGAGAGACGCUGUGCCCAUUUCCGGGCCCAGACCUUCAGACACUGGCAGCUUCCACUCUUGCAGUGCCCCCUCCAGGGGAAGCCAGACAACGGGAGGCCUGACCACACCGCGAGGAGACGGCAGCCUGCCACGUGGAGGAGGGCAGCCCGGCCGUUCCCCCUGCCCUUCUGGCCACGGGAGCCCAGGCACCACACACGCGAGUGAGGAAGUCGCCUUGGACGGCCCAGCUGCAGCAGGUGGGCCCCCGCCAGCAAGUCGGAACCGGGGCCCCAGACACUGGCCCCAGUGACUGCAAAGGUCGCAUCACCCAACCUCAAACCCUGAGACAGAUCCUGACUGAGCAACUGCUGGAGGCCAGGCUAUGUUGAAGGCCCACACCAAAUCAAGAUGGCGGCUCUCACUCUUGAUCUCGGGGUCGAGAUCAAGACACACGUAACAGAAAGGCCAAGGUGCGAGCGAGGUGGGAGGGGGCCUGGGGGUGGGGAGAGAAGGCAAGUAUUCUGCAGAUGCCUCUCUGGAGGCGGCAUUCUGACGGCUGUGACAAAGUGGCCUGGAGGGAAGAUCAGGGUUCCUCAGGGACGGCAGACAGAACGGGGUCCCCGAAGGCCACAGCCAUGACCGUGUGGCGCUGGGAAAGUUCACUGGUCUCCCUGGGUCUGUUUCAACCACAGAGUGACACUAAAAGCAAGUGACAAACCAGACAGUACACGACACGCGCUUCCAGUGGCCUGGGCCUCGCGCAUAUGCUCACACGGCCAGCUGUUCCAGUAUUGUUGCUGUUACUACCACGUCCGCUGAACAAAGAACGGAGCAGACACUCCGGAUCCUGACUCCAUCCCUACCCUCCGCUUUCUGGUUUUAUUUUGUUUGUAAGUAAGCUCUACGCCCAACGUGCAGUUUGAAUUGACGACCCCGAGAUCUAGAGGCACCCGCUCCACUGACAGCCAGCCGGGCGUCCCUCUGCUUUGCUCUGAAUAAGGCAGUGCUCACGGUCUAUCCGUGUUUAGGUUGUUCGGAUUUUUUAAAUGAUUAUAUGAUAUUGUUGCGAUCAGAAAAAAAACACUAAAGGUUUCUGUCAAGCCUGUGAGAUCUGUGAAAAAGGAAGGAGUUAAAUGCUAUUAAACACCACAUAAGCACAGGGCUGUGUGAUUCAACACCCGUUCCCAGGCAGGGAUCUCGGGACUGACGCGUGAUGCUGCGGCCCAGAUGCCUGCCCCACCCCACCCCCACGUCUGGGGAUCCAAGCACCUCAGGGAGCCUGCAGGGUGCAGGGGUAUCCUUCUUCCCCUUGCCAAGUGGAAAGCAGACUAAGCACCCUUGUAGAGCACACAAAUCUAAUUGUUAACUGAAAGCAAAUCAGUAUGACCAGGGUAACUGAAUCAGAGGCGCAGAUCAUUCUAGAUACGAGUGCACUAUCACACAAAGGGCCCUUUCCCUAAAAGCCUCUGCCUUUCAAUGGUCCUUUCUUUAAGAAAGUAAUAACACUUUAUGUACAUUCAAAAAAUUGUAGGUACCUUUUUAUUAUUUUUAUUUAAAAUUUUAUUUUUUUGACAGAGAGAGCUAGCAUGCACUCAAACGGGGAGGGGCAGAGAGAAGGGGAGAGAAAUCCCAAGCAGGCUCCAUGCUGUCAGCACAGAGCCCGAUGCGGGGCUUGUACCCACGAACUGUGAGAUCAUGACCUGAGCCGAAAUCAAGAGCCAGACACUUCACUGACUGAGGCACCCAGGCGCCCCGUAGGUACCCUGUUUUUAAUUUAAAAUGCAAAGGAUUAGAAUUAUUUGUAUUUUUGUGUGUGUAUUUAUUUUGAUUUUGUUUUCCAUCUCUUUAUUGUGCAAGACUCCAAUCCUGCAGUAAGGUCGUGAUAAUUGUGUAA